rnacentral:tmRNA from 1 species
GGGACUGUUUGGUUUCUACAUAUAAUUCAUUUAUAUAUUAUUUAGAGGAUGAAGGUAAGCUAUACUUCAUUAAUCCUAGCUUAAAUAUAAAUGCUAAACAUCAAAUAAUACCUUUUUCUAAAAAAAUGUUAUUGAUUUAAACUUGAUUAUUUUUUAGUUUAUCUCAUUAUAUUCUUUACAGUAUAGUGUGAUUUGUAAAAAGUAGAUGCUCUUAAAAUAAUUAAUAUUUUUUUAAGUAAAGUUAUAUUUUAUUGUAUUUUUUUUUCCUCUUGACGAUAUUGAUUUAUUCAUUAGAGUUAGUUUUAUAUAUUGUUUUAUAAUGGACGUGGGUUCGAUUCCCACCAGUUCC